UACGGAAGGCAGCAGUGGGGAAUAUUGCACAAUGGGCGAAAGCCUGAUACAGCUAUGCCGCGUGUAUGAAGAAGGCCUUUAGGGUUGUAAAGUACUUUCAUCGGGGAGGAAAAAACAAAACUAAUAAUUUUAUUUCUUGACGUUACCCGAAAAAGAAGCACCGGCUAACUCCGUGCCAGCAGCCGCGGUAAUACGGAGGGUGCUAGCGUUAAUCAGAAUUACUGGGCGUAAAGAGCACGUAGGUGGUUUUUUUAAAGUCAGAUGUGAAAUCCCUGGGCUUAACCUAGGAACUGCAUUUUGAAACUGAAAUACUAGAGUAUCGUAGAGGGAGGUAGAAUUCUAGGUGUAGCGGUGAAAUGCGUAGAUAUCUGGAGGAAUACCUGUGGCGAAAGCGGCCUCCUAAACGAAUACUGACACUGAGGGUGCGAAAAGCGUGGGGAGCAAAACAGGGAUUUAGAUACC
rnacentral:rRNA from 1 species